rnacentral:rRNA from 1 species
GUGUCAGCCGCCGCGGUAAUACGGAGGGUGCAAGCGUUAAUCGGAAUUACUGGGCGUAAAGCGCACGUAGGCGGUCGUUCUAGUCCGUUGUGAAAGCCCCGGGCUCAACCUGGGAAUGGCAAGGGAAACGGAACGACUGGAGUGGACCAGAGGACCGUGGAAUUCCCGGUGUAGCGGUGAAAUGCGUAGAGAUCGGGAAGAACACCGAUGGCGAAGGCAGCGGUCUGGGGUCACACUGACGCUGAGGGGCGACAGCGUGGGGAGCAAACAGGAUUAGAUACCCUGGUAGUCCACGCCGUAAACGAUGAGAACUAGACGCCGGGCAGGUCACUGUUCGGGGUCGGAGCUAACGCGUGAAGUUCUCCGCCUGGGGAGUACGGCCGCAAGGUUGAA